UACAGAGGUCUCAAGCGUUGUUCGGAUUCAUUGGGCGUAAAGGGUGCGUAGGCGGCGCGGUAAGUCGGGUGUGAAAUCUUGGAGCUUAACUCCGAAACUGCAUUCGAUACUGCCGUGCUUGAGGACUGGAGAGGAGACUGGAAUUUACGGUGUAGCGGUGAAAUGCGUAGAUAUCGGGAGGAACACCGAUGGCGAAGGCAGCACUCUGGGCCGGUACUGACGCUGAGGAGCGAAAGCGUGGGGAGCGAACAGG
rnacentral:rRNA from 1 species